GCCGACCUAGCUCAAUUGGUAGAGCAAUACUUUCGUAAAGUAUAGGUUCGGGGUUCGAUCCCCCGGGUCGGCU
rnacentral:tRNA from 1 species